rnacentral:rRNA from 1 species
GACGUAGGAGGCGAGCGUUAUCCGGAUUCACUGGGCGUAAAGCGCAUGUAGGCGGCUGCUUAAGUCGUGUGUUAAAGCCCCUGGCUCAACUGGGGGAGGUCAUGCGAGACUAAGCGGCUUGAGGGCAACAGAGGCACGUGGAACUCCCGGUGUAGCGGUGGAAUGCGUAGAGAUCGGGAAGAACACCAGUGGCGAAGGCGGCGUGCUGGGUUGCGACUGACGCUGAGAUGCGAAAGUGUGGGGAGCAAACGGG